UCUCUUCUCUUCUCUCCUGCUCUCUUCUCUCUCUCUCUCUCUCUCAAGGAUGAACUCCAACCGGAGUUCUUCAUGUUCUUCAUUUUCCGGCAACCGACCGCCGUGAUUCUCAGAUUCCGGCUAGUCGCCGGCGAGCCGCCGCCACCUUCCAACUGGAACCACCGCGCCGGAAUCAUAACCACCCAAAAAAAUCCCAAAAUUUACGUAGAAACCUUAUUUUUUGCGAUUUAAACACAAAUCAACAUUAAAGGUGCAAAAAACACAACAAAUAGUGUUAAAAAAAGAUUUCAGGUUAAGGGUGUUGGUGGAGGCAGAGGGAAGGUGCACUGUUAAAUUAGUUUUUUUUUUUUUGUAAUUUCUCUUCUCUGUGUGUGUAAAAAAAAACCUUUUUUUGCUCUGAUUGUGUCUCAAUUAAUAGACCAAGUGAAUGAAUUUGUUUAAUGUAAAAAACCUUCAGAUUUACAAUUUUUAUUGUUUUUAAUCUCAUCAAUUUGUGUUGAGAAGAAAAAAAAAUAGUAUGAGGAGAUGGUGAUGAAUGAAUGAAUCUGUGGUUGUUUUUCUC